UAAGCCGUUGAAGGUGUCCUGUGAGGGGUGCUGGAGGUAUCAGAAGUGCGAAUGCUGACAUAAGUAACGAUAAAGCGGGUGAAAAGCCCGCUCGCCGGAAGACCAAGGGUUCCUGUCCAACGUUAAUCGGGGCAGGGUGAGUCGACCCCUAAGGCGAGGCCGAAAGGCGUAGUCGAUGGGAAACGGGUUAAUAUUCCCGUACUUGGUGUUACUGCGAAGGGGGGACGGAGAAGGCUAUGUUGGCCGGGCGACGGUUGUCCCGGUUUAAGCGUGUAGGUGUGUGUUCCAGGUAAAUCCGGUUCACUUUAACACUGAGGCGUGAUGACGAGGCACCACGGUGCUGAAGCAACAAAUGCCCUGCUUCCAGGAAAAGCCUCUAAGCAUCAGGUAACAUCAAAUCGUACCCCAAACCGACACAGGUGGUCAGGUAGAGAAUACCAAGGCGCUUGAGAGAACUCGGGUGAAGGAACUAGGCAAAAUGGUGCCGUAACUUCGGGAGAAGGCACGCUGACACGUAGGUGAAGUGAUUUACUCACGGAGCUGAAGUCAGUCGAAGAUACCAGCUGGCUGCAACUGUUUAUUAAAAACACAGCACUGUGCAAACACGAAAGUGGACGUAUACGGUGUGACGCCUGCCCGGUGCCGGAAGGUUAAUUGAUGGGGUCAGCGCAAGCGAAGCUCCUGAUCGAAGCCCCGGUAAACGGCGGCCGUAACUAUAACGGUCCUAAGGUAGCGAAAUUCCUUGUCGGGUAAGUUCCGACCUGCACGAAUGGCGUAAUGAUGGCCAGGCUGUCUCCACCCGAGACUCAGUGAAAUUGAACUCGCUGUGAAGAUGCAGUGUACCCGCGGCAAGACGGAAAGACCCCGUGAACCUUUACUAUAGCUUGACACUGAACAUUGAGCCUUGAUGUGUAGGAUAGGUGGGAGGCUUUGAAGCGUGGACGCCAGUCUGCGUGGAGCCGACCUUGAAAUACCACCCUUUAAUGUUUGAUGUUCUAACGUGGACCCGUAAUCCGGGUUGCGGACAGUGUCUGGUGGGUAGUUUGACUGGGGCGGUCUCCUCCUAAAGAGUAACGGAGGAGCACGAAGGUUGGCUAAUCCUGGUCGGACAUCAGGAGGUUAGUGCAAUGGCAUAAGCCAGCUUGACUGCGAGCGUGACGGCGCGAGCAGGUGCGAAAGCAGGUCAUAGUGAUCCGGUGGUUCUGAAUGGAAGGGCCAUCGCUCAACGGAUAAAAGGUACUCCGGGGAUAACAGGCUGAUACCGCCCAAGAGUUCAUAUCGACGGCGGUGUUUGGCACCUCGAUGUCGGCUCAUCACAUCCUGGGGCUGAAGUAGGUCCCAAGGGUAUGGCUGUUCGCCAUUUAAAGUGGUACGCGAGCUGGGUUUAGAACGUCGUGAGACAGUUCGGUCCCUA
rnacentral:rRNA from 1 species